UAAUUUUUAUAUGUACCAAAAUUAAAUUGUUCCUUAAAAAAAAAAAAACAAAACCCUAUCACAUUGGACCUACCUUCAUAUGAGUGCACCCAUUUUCUACCUAGCGCCGUCAGCGACCAUCAUAAAACCCUAAGAACUUUCAUCUUCUUCCUUAAUCUUGCGACGGUGGUAGCUGCAAGGGUAAAGCCAUCUGGAUCUUUUCCUUGCUUUCAUUUUCUUCCGUGUUUGUUUGAUUCAGUAUUUUCAAUAAAAUAUUCUUACUUCUUACAAUCUUUUUUUUUUUUUUUUGUUUUCUUCGCAUUUAUGUCUUAUAUGUUUCUUUAUCAUCAGGAUGAAUUUGAGAACGAUUUUUUGAUCUCCGACAAGUCUGUUUUCUUCUUCUUUUUACUGAUGUUUAGUAGUGUUUUAUUCUUUCUUCUUUUUCUUUACUCUUUUCCUAAGGUUGAAGAUCUCUCUGUUUACGCGGAUUUAACGGGGCUUUUUUUUUUUUUUAUAUCUUCUAUUCCUUCCUUUCCUCCGUUUGUCUCUGCGUGUACUUGGAUUUAUGUUAUUCAGAUCUAUGUGGGCUGGUGUAUGAAAUAUUGGUCUGUGAUUUUUUUUUUUUGUGAUCAAACUUCCUUUGCUGUGUACUGACAAGGAUUAUCAUGAUUGAUGUCUCAACAUCGGUGCAUAUUGGUGAUUUUUUAUCCGUGCAUGCAAUCAGUUAUUUUUUCACUUUGAAGUAUCAGUAAGUAGUAUGAUUUUAAGUCAUGAAAACUGGUGUAAAUGAUUUUUUUCUUUGACUGCUCGUUUUCAUACUGGAACUGGGUUUGGUGCGUGUUAGUCUUACAGAAAUGGGAUUCAUCUAAUUUUUAGGUUAUGUUGCUAAACUUCGAUUAUGGUUUCUUUCUUUCCUGUUUAUUCCCUUAGGUCGUACGCCUUUUGCUUCCGAAUCUAGUUUCUUUUGGUAUUUCUAAACUUGUGGUAUUUUUUUUUUUGAAAUAGUAAACUUGUGGUAUUUUAGGUUAGACUUGAUAUUGCAGCAAGAAGAUUUUGUUGGAAGGGACUUUAUUCUCCUUGAAGAUUAGGAAUUCCAUUUAUUUUCUGUUUUGACUACAUGAAAUUCCCCUCCCCUUU
rnacentral:lncRNA from 1 species